CGACUGGUUGAGAAGGAAAAUCGAAAGAGUGACUGGUUGUAAAGAAAAAGAAAAGAAAAGGUCGAGAGACAGAGGAAGAGGUGAAGGAAUGGGGAAGCCAAUCGGGAGGCGAAGGUAGAACGAAGGUAGAACGAAGGAAGAGGCGACAGAAUGGGGAAGCCAAUCGGGAGGGUAAAACAGAGAGGGUAAACGAUGCAGCACCUAAUCUGAGCA
rnacentral:lncRNA from 1 species